ACGCAAGCGAUGUUGAUGCCUGGUCACACUACAUCAACCUUAACCAUCCUGCACCGGCUGGCAGCAAGACGAGCCCCCUCUCCUUCCGGUUCCACUUCCAUCCAUCCGCUGCCGCCGACUAGCAGACGGCUACGGCGGCGCCCGCACGCACCCUCGCGACGAUGCGGCGAGCCACACUCUCGCUCGCGCUCGGGCUCUCCCUCAUCGCCCUCCUCGCUGCCCGGGGCGCCGACGCCUCAAUCCACGAGUACGCCGGCGGCGGCUUCGCGCCGCGGGCCAACUCCUUCUUCUUCCACGGCGGGAGCGAGGGUCUCUACGCAUCCGACCUCUUAUCCAACUCCUCAUCCUUCAUCAGGUUUGACUCCAUUGUAUUUCGUCGCACCCUGGAGUCAGCGUCUAGGCAUGAGGAGAUGCAGCAAAAGACAGGAUUGGUGGAGGCUAUAAUUGUUGAGAUACAGGACAGGGACAAAAUUGGAGGUUCAUAUCUACACUCUGAUGCAAUAUGCUGCACGCCUGAGCUUGAUAAAGAGAAAUCUUGUAGAGUAGGAGAGGUGAUCAUACGUCCAAAUCCUGAGAACCCUGACUGGCCUAAGAGGAUCCAGACAUUCUUUGAUGGUAAAAAUGAAGAAACCACUAUGGUAACUCAAAUUGUAUCAAUAAACAAAACAGGGAUGUAUUACCUCUAUUUUAUGUUCUGUGAUCCUCAACUUAAGGGAUUGAAGGUUACAGGAAGAACUGUUUGGAGAAAUCCACAGGGUUACCUCCCUGGUAAAAUGGCUCCAAUGAUGACAUUUUAUGGUGUCAUGUCACUUGCAUAUCUUGCACUUGGACUUCUAUGGUUCAUUCAGUUCGUGCGAUGCUGGAAGGACAUUUUGCAGCUGCAUUACCAUAUAACAACUGUUAUUGCUCUUGGCAUGUGUGAAAUGGCUUUCUGGUAUUUUGAGUAUGCUAACUUUAAUUCAACUGGAACCAGACCUAUAGGCAUUACCUUGUGGGCAGUUACGUUUACAGCUGUGAAGAAGACUGUUUCUCGUUUUCUUCUAUUAGUAGUUUCGAUGGGCUAUGGUGUUGUUCUACCCACAUUGGGUGGCAUAACAUCAAGAGUUGCUGCUCUUGGUUUCAUAUAUUUUGUUGCUUCAGAAGCUCUUGAACUAGUUGAAAAUCUGGGAAAUAUCAAUGACUUCUCUGGAAAGACAAGGCUAUUCCUAGUGCUGCCUGUUGCUGUACUUGAUGCUACCUUUAUCAUCUGGAUAUUUUCAUCCCUCUCUAGAACUUUGGAGAAGCUGCAGCUGCGGAGAAGCAUGGCAAAACUUGAAUUAUAUCGGAAGUUUACAAAUUCUCUGGCUGUGUCAGUGCUUAUCUCAAUCGCUUGGAUUGGCUAUGAGCUAUAUUUCAAUGCAACUGACCCAUUGAGUGAACUUUGGCAACGGGCUUGGAUCAUCCCCUCCUUUUGGAAUGUGCUUUCAUAUGCCCUCCUCGUGAUCAUAUGCAUCCUUUGGUCACCAUCUCGCAAUCCAACAGGGUGGUUGCUUUUAGCAAUAGCACAAGCAUAUAUUCUGAAACAGAUUUACAAUCAUAUUCUUUACAAUAUUCAUAAUGAAUUUUGCUGUAAAGCAACUUCUAUGAUCCUUGAAGAUGUUCCCUGUUCAACUAUAUAUUAAUCCAUUUAAUCUUCGGAGAUGAAUAUUUCAUGUUGAGAAUUAAUUUCAGUUUGCCUAUUCAGAGGAUGCAGGUGAGGGAGCUGAUGAGGAAGGGCUCUCUCUAGUAGGCAGUGCAGUGAAAGGAACUGGGGAUAUGGUAAACAUGCAUAUCUUUCCGGAGGAUAAGCGUGCAUGAUAAAUUUUGGUCUGAAUUCAGCUGUACUCCUGGCAGAAUGCUAUGUGAAGUACCCUUUUCCUCUGGAUUCACGACUAGCUGACAUCUUCUAAAGCAGUAAAGCUUGCGUAAGAUUCCAGAUGUACAGUUGGUGACUUGUGUUGAACGAUUUGACCAAGAGAUUUUUACUUGUCCAGUUGUGACUACUCAAAUACAAGGUCGGCACAAUAAACUGUCACUUUGAGAGCAUAAGAGAUUAGUCUUCAUAAUCCUUGUGAUGGUGAUGUAACUCGUAGGCGGUUGUAUGUAUCAUUACCGGAGCUGAAAUGUAUCGUGGAUCUAAUGAUUUAUUUGCGAUUGAUUAUGCACUUGUAUUAUUA